rnacentral:rRNA from 1 species
AGCGAACGCUGGCGGCAGGCUUAACACAUGCAAGUCGAGCGGGCGUAGCAAUACGUCAGCGGCAGACGGGUGAGUAACACGUGGGAACGUACCUUUUGGUUCGGAACAACACAGGGAAACUUGUGCUAAUACCGAAUAAGCCCUUACGGGGAAAGAUUUAUCGCCGAAAGAUCGGCCCGCGUCUGAUUAGCUUGUUGGUGAGGUAACGGCUCACCAAGGCGACGAUCAGUAGCUGGCUGAGAGGAUGAUCAGCCACACUGGGACUGAGACACGGCCCAGACUCCUACGGGAGGCAGCAGUGGGGAAUAUUGGACAAUGGGGGCAACCCUGAUCCAGCCAUGCCGCGUGAGUGAUGAAGGCCCUAGGGUUNUAAAGCUCUUUUGUGCGGGAAGAUAAUGACGGUACCGCAAGAAUAAGCCCCCGGCUAACUUCGUGCCAGCAGCCGC